UACGGAGGGUGCAAGCGUUAUCCGGAUUCACUGGGUUUAAAGGGUGCGUAGGUGGGUUGGUAAGUCAGUGGUGAAAUCUCCGAGCUUAACUUGGAAACUGCCAUUGAUACUAUUAAUCUUGAAUAUUGUGGAGGUCAGCGGAAUAUGUCAUGUAGCGGUGAAAUGCUUAGAUAUGACAUAGAACACCGAUUGCGAAGGCAGCUUGCUAAGCUAUAACUGACACUGAUGCACGAAAGCGUGGGGAGCAAACAGG
rnacentral:rRNA from 1 species